AAAAAAAAAAACCGUUAUUUUAAAAGUCAUGGAGUGGGGUGUGGUUUAAUUUCUGGGAAGCACGUGCCAGUCUCUCCUUCACUUCUUGAUUAGAGACGACACGCAUGUACGCCAUGCAGCACACUCCGCAGGUUUCAUUACAGUCGGGGGAACGGGGCCAGCACAUCCGCUGAAGCCGGAGUUUCAGCAUUAAGAAAUCUGGCCUGAUGUUUGGCUGUGGUGCCUCCAUCAUCCUGACACUCUUCGGCAACCGGUCUUUGUACGGAGGCCACCAUGAUUGGCCAUCUGAGUUCCAUCAUUUUGCUACAGGUCCAGUUGUCUCUUCUCCCACAAACUACAUUUUCAGCUCACCACAACCACUGGGGUGUACCAGCUGUGGAAAGUGCAGGCCAAAUCUUGGGUGUCCACCUUCCACCACCAAACUUCUUCCCACAUGUAGACAAGGUAAUGAAUUGUUUAGCAGACUAUUGGUAUACAUGAAUGUUUUAUUCUAUUAGGGCUGCAACCAGGGAUUAUUUUAAUAAUUUAAUUAUUUCUCAGAUUCAUUGGAUAAAAAGCAACAUUUUAUUUUUUGUGUAUAUUUGAAAAGCAAGUUAUCAUUCCCAGUGUUCAAACUGAAUGUGGUGUGAUCAUCUGUGAUUCAAUUGUCCGCCACAUCCAUGCUAUCUCAGCUAAAGGUAAGGUGCGCAGUCACUGCUUUUCCUGGUGCUCGUGUUCUUGAUGUUGCUGCGCAGGUAUCCGCGAUCCUGAAUGGUGACGAGCAUCGGAGCUGUAGUGCUCGGGGGUGAACGACAUCAGGCUGCGGCAGACAGGUUCUGAAGAAGGACUUCAAGAGCCUGAUCGCGACCGUAUGCAGCACAUCGUCUGCAAUGAGGAUCAUCGUGUCCGGAAAGCUUCCGACAUACUGACGUGGACAUGAAAGCUUUGGAGAUGGUUCAACCUAGAUGCACAGAUCUAUCGCUAGCCCAGCUUCAUUCCCACAUCUGGCACCCAAGAUUCAUUAAGUGCAGUCCAUAACCAGUGUCUGCACCUUGUCCAUUGCAAAUGUUAUGGAAUGUUCUAUUAGAGCUCAUUAUAAUCUUUAUUUGAGACUGGUGUUAUGUAGAGGCUGUUGUGUGUUAUGUUGUGAAUAAAGUUCACCCCCCGUGAAACAGUUUCCCUUAUUUGUGAGAAUAUUUUACCUUGAUGCUUUCAGCAGUUCCUACAUUAAAGUGUCUUUUUUUUUUUUCUCUUUUUUUUUUUUCUUUUUUUUUUUUUUUUUUUAUUGAAAGAUUGUUUUAAUGUUCAAUCAACUUUGGGACAUAAUCAACUCUGGGAAGUUAGUAUCAUUAAUUCUGUAAGGCACUAUGAAUCAAAUGAACAUUUGUGUAGCGUGUUUCCUCCAAAGGCUUCUUCCUCAUUCCUCCUCAAACAUCAACAAGGGUCUUCUUUGCUAUUGUCACCUUUUGGCUUGCUCAUUGGAGUUUGUAAGCAUCAUUAUUUGGAACAAAAUAUGAAUAUGAAAAUUGGUAGGUGUUACACUAUUUCAUUGCAUGAGUCAAAGAACCAUCUGACACAAAGCCAUGGAUCACCCCUUAUACAGAGCAUGGUAGGCUAAGAAGGGUCUAAUUUAUGCUUUCUGCAUAACGAAAUUAUGUGAACCACAUCUAAUAAGCAGGUAGAAUUAGUUAGUUUGAAACGAGCUUUACCUCAACUUGGCUGGCAAUUUUUUGCAUGUAUUUUUUGUCUAAUGAGGGAUCAAGCAAACAAAGGGUUAGAUGAACAAACUACAGACUGUUGUGCAUGAUGGGUUCCAGAAAAUGUUCAUAUGAGCUUGUAUUUUAUUAGUAUUUUAAUUUAUAUAUACUGAUUUGUAACCAGAUUAUGAUGAAGUCACCCUUUGCAAAUCAUUUAAAGCAUUUUAAAAAUUAAAUCCAUGAAUGCAGUGCUUAUAUGAGUGCUUUUCUGAUUAUUCUGAGCCGAAAGCAAAAAAGCUAUUUAAGUGUAAGUGAAAUAUGUAAAACUAAAUGUAUCAGUGAAACCUAUCAAUGCAGAAUCUCCAAAAUAGGCAUAACUGUACUUUUGUUGUUGUUUUUACACGUUAUGUAGGCUACUCGUUGGGGAAAAAUGCAACACAAUAUGAAUUCGAUGCUUGUCAAAUUGUAUGCAGAUCAAUGAACCAUCAAUGUAUGUAUUUGAUAUAAUUAGUUUUAUAUUUCCGUGUCAACACUGGAUGCGAACGGUGCGACGUG